UGGGGAAUUUUCCGCAAUGGGCGAAAGCCUGACGGAGCAAUGCCGCGUGGAGGUGGAAGGCCUACGGGUCGUCAACUUCUUUUCUCGGAGAAGAAACAAUGACGGUAUCUGAGGAAUAAGCAUCGGUUAACUCUGUGUCAG
rnacentral:rRNA from 1 species